rnacentral:rRNA from 1 species
CACCAGCGCCACGAGUAGGAGCCGCUUUUAUUUGGCCUAAAGCAUCCGUAGCCGGAUUUGCAAAUCCUUUGUGAAAUUGUUGGGCUUAACCUAACAGCGUGCAAAGGACACUACAUUUCUUGAGACUGGAGAGGAGUUAGAGGUAUUCUGGGGGGAGCGGUAAAAUGCUAUAAUCCUCAGAGGACCACCUGUGGCGAAGGCGUCUAACUAGAACAGUUCUGACGGUGAGGGAUGAAAGCUGGGGGAGCGAUCC